UCAGGAUCAGCUGUUCGCAUCGUUCGCAAGUAGUAAACAAACAUACAACCUAACCUAUUCUUGUUCUGUUCGUUGGUUGAGUGUUUAUCUCAAAAAGUGUUUCAGAUAAAUUUCAGUAGUUAGACGGUUGGCAUGGUGGUUUACGACUUUUAAUUGUCGGGGGAAGAGUUGUUGAACUCGAUAUUUUCCAUCUGGCCGGUGCAAAAGUGACAUCGAAGAAGGCGGUUCCCAAAAGGCAGAUCAAACCUUGACGUCAGAUCGAGAGCAGAUUUUUCGGUUCGCAAAUCCCGGCGGAGUUGGAUGAUGUAGAGGACGUAAAAAGGACAAAUCCGCAGAGGCACCACUGGACGGAACCUGCUCCACCAGUUCCACCUGCUGCCGUAGCAGUAACCCGAAACAUCGUUUAUCGUUUCCCAGAUCAACAACACAUCACUCUGCGCCGGCAACAGUUCCGGGUUAAACAAUCAUCCAGCGAUCCCAGCACAUCAGCUUGGAUUCUUCCCGUGCUGAAACGAAAUCCGACCGACCAAUCUGUUUCCGAACAACAAAUAUCUCCCGCAAGGUCGCGAAACUAUGAAUUCUGUACCCCAGCGCCACCAGCAAUCUCUCCGGCGGUUCAUCAACGGAAUGAAUCCAUGCAGAUACCGCACACUCCGUGCACCAUGUUACGACGACAGCGAUUCCAGAAACUCUGGGUUGCCGGUUCCAGACUUGCCGCAGAUUCUGAAUAGCUUAGUUGAGAU